GGGCAGGUGGCGGAGCGGCUAACGCGCUGGACUGCAACUCCAGUUUUCAUGGGUUCGAGUCCCAUCCUGCCCU
rnacentral:tRNA from 1 species